ensembl:snRNA U6 U6 spliceosomal RNA
GUGCUCACUUCAGCAGUACAUAUACUAAAAUUGGAACAAUAAAUUGCACCUGCACAAGGAUGACAUGCAAACUCAUGAAGUGUUUCAUAAUUUU